UAGAACUUGAACAUUAGUUAUCUGUGAACUUUGCUAGGUUAUGUUUGAACUUUGCACUUAAAUCUAUUACAUUUUUUCAAAACGCCUAAUAAGCCAAGGUGUAAGGUAGGACCUCACCGCCUUACUACCGCCUUACGCCUUCCACAACCUUGAAAAAAACUGACAACUAGUAAAUGGUCAUAAGGAUUUAAAACAAGUCUUAACACGUAAAUUAUAAAACAUGUGUUUUAAAAUCAAGUCCACUUCACCACUUCCCGAAUUAGCUCCACUAUGCUCCUGCAUCAACUAUCAAAACACCCCGGUAGGUGGUUUGGGGUCAAUCUUUCGUACUCUAAUCAUAACAUAUUACUAUAAAUGAAUUACUUACAUUAGUAUUCAACAUUCAUCUUAUCAUAAAGCUAACAAUGUGAUUCUAAUAGCCCAAUACUAACCUAAGGGUCUCUAAUGGCCCAAUACUAAUAUAAGGGUCUCUAAUGACUAAAUACCUAAGUCUUGGAUCUUUAAUUGUCCAAAAUCAUAAACCGUCAACUUGGAUCGAUGGUUUAGCUAAAGAGAUUCAUAUUAUUGGAUUAUCAAUUGGUCAUCUAGACUUAAAGACAGGCUAGCUAGUUAUCUAACCGCAACUUAUUCUAACUAAAUCAUAUGCAUAUAGACUCAUAAUAUGAGUAUUAUAAUAGAACAUAGGAAAUAGAACACAUCAUGGUAAAUAAGAACUUAACAUCCUAAGGAAUCAUCAAUAAGUAAUCGUCAACAAGGAAUCAUCAAUAAGUAAUCAUCAUCUAGUAAUGUCAUCAUCUAAUAAUCAAAAGUAAUCAUCAUCUAAUAACCAAAAGUAAUCAUCAUCAAGCAAACAUCAUCAAGUAAUCUUCAUCAUCGACUGAAAUUGAAGUCAAUUAAGUUAGGUAUAUUAUGAAAUCAUGAGUACCAUGCUUCUUGUAAGUUGACAUGUCAUAAACGUCAUUCUUGAGGAACUCAAAUUACAUGACUCCAAUUCUUGUACUUUCAUUGACCUCAUCUAAGGUAUCUUAUAUUUUGUGGAGGGUCCCCCAACUCAACUAACUAACCCACCACCCUAGCGCUAAAAUUAUGGAGGUCUGGGAGUACAUAUCCAUUAGACGGUAUCAUAAAUCAUAGAGGGCAAACUGUGGCCCGUAAAUCAUGGGGGCAACACUCGACCCGUAAAUCAUAGUGGUCAUAAGCCCGGAUCAUGGGGGCAAAUGUGGCCCGAAUCAUAAGGGAUGGUGGUCUAGCUAGUGAGUUUCAUGUUUUAAAUCCACCUAUUACUAAUCUAGGUUAGGUGUUCUUGCUCGCUGACACUGACUUGUUAUCUAUCCUCAUCAUAGUUCUUACGUUGCCAUUAGUCUAACCUUAUCAUAGUGCUAACAUUAUUGUUAGUCUAGCAUUAUCAUCAUAUAUGAGGCACAUCUUGCACAACAUCAAAGUGAUAACAUAUAGGACAUAAUUAAAGACAUAAUCAUGAAAAUCAGGACAUCAAAUUAAAUGCAUCAAAUUAAGUUAAACUUAACCUAAUCUACAUCAACGACAAAAUAUUACCCCCUUAAACCAACCCACCUUAUUAAAGAGCUGAAAUCUCAGAAUUUGGAUCCUAUCUAUUCCUCCUUGAUGCCACAAAACCAUGGCUUCUAACAAUGCGUCAUUUGGAGGUCAAACGGCCGAGUUAUGCUUCAUUUACUCCUUUGCAACUUCUGAGAAUUUUAAGUGGCGAAACUGACAUUUCACUGCCCAAUUAUUUCACUUCCAGAUUUUGUCGCCCAACUUUUGGUUACUUAAGAGUAAUCCCUGAACAGUGAACUAAUAAUAGAGCAGUCACACAACUUUGCAGAAAUAUAACUAAGUCCUCAAACUUACAGAAAACACAUUCAGAUCACUUAUCUUUUGGAUACUACAGAUUGAUCACCGUACUUUCCAGAAUUGCAGUAUGGUUUGUCUGCUUCUCCGGCCAUCUCCUCACCGCCGGUGACCUCAUCUCUAGAUUCCGGCAGGGUUUCCCAACGAGCUCUAGAAUUCUUUGGACUCUCGAUCUUUGCCUCCGAUCGUCCCCUUCGUCGACACCGAGCCCAUAUCACGCUCUCUCUGUAAUGACCAUGGGAUCGACUCAAGCCCUAUUGAGAAAGAGAGUUAGAUGAGGAAGAAGGGCGGUGAAGAGAAGAGGAGAGAAUUGAUAGAGAUAAGAAUUGUUGAUUAAGUUUCUGAUGUUUGCAGACAAAGACAACAGUCCUCAAAUAGCAGCUCGGAGCAAAGAGCUAGAUCUGUACAAAGUUCAUCUUUAGUCCUCAGCUAUUUAGGGAAAUAUAGAAAAAUACUCUAAUAUUUAAAUAGGACUCUUUGGGCCUCAUCAUGACAAUCCUUCCUGGUUGAAAACAGACUUGUCAUCAAGUCUG
rnacentral:lncRNA from 1 species